rnacentral:rRNA from 1 species
AGUGAACGCUGGCGGUAGGCCUAACACAUGCAAGUCGAACGGCAGCACAGUAAGAGCUUGCUCUUACGGGUGGCGAGUGGCGGACGGGUGAGGCAUACAUCGGAAUCUACUUUUUCGUGGGGGAUAACGUAGGGAAACUUACGCUAAUACCGCAUACGACCUACGGCUGAAAGCAGGGGAUCUUCGCACCUUGCGCGUUUGAAUGAGCCGAUGUCGGAUUAGCUAGUUGGCAGGGUAAAGGCUCACCAAGGCGACGAUGCGUAGCUGGUCUGAGAGGAUGAUCAGCCACACUGGAACUGAGACACGGUCCAGACUCCUACGGGAGGCAGCAGUGGGGAAUAUUGGACAAUGGGCGCAAGCCUGAUCCAGCCAUACCGCGUGAGUGAAGAAGGCCUUCGGGUUGUAAAGCCCUUUUGUUAGGAAAGAAAAGCAGCAGGUUAAUACCCCGCUGUUCUGACGGUACCCAAAGAAUAAGCACCGGCUAACUUCGUG